GAGAGAAUGUGUCCUUGUGUGUGUGUGUGUGUGUGUGUGAGUGAGAGAGAGAAUGUGUGUGUGUGUGAGAGAGAGAGAGAGAGAGAGAGAGAGAGAAUAUGUGUGUGUGUGUGUGCGUGAGAGAGAGAGAGAAUAUGUGUGUGUGUGUGUGCGUGUGUGUGUGCGUGAGAGAGAGAGAGAGAGAGAGAGAGAGAGUAGCAAAAGUAAAAAAAGAAUAAAAGGAGGGCUGGAGACAGAACCGUAUAGACCAGGAAGCACUUGCUGUUGUUUUACUUAUUGUAGAGGUUUAGAACAUAGACUUUGUAUUUCAUUACUAACAUAUGAUAAAUGAUAAAUAUAUGAGGAAUUCCAUUACUAACAAUUUAAUGUCUCAAAACAAGCUGAAAAUAGUUCACUUUUUAACUAUUCUCUUAACAAAGCUGGACAUUUUACAACAUUACAAAAGUCACAAGACUUGGGGCAUAAUAUUGAAGACACUGGACAAAGGCAGGGCAUGGCUGUGGGGCAUCUGAAGUGGAUAUGGUGAAACUCUGAUAGCCCGGAUCGCUGCUGUCAAUCUGCCAAUCUGCUGCCUCAGACUUGAUGUCAUCUAUAGGCACAUUAUAUAAAUUCUAACAGUUAAGAAUUCUUUUGAUACAAAUAAUGACUUAAACUCAUCUAGCAGCAGCUUAAAUAAUAUUUGUACUGGAUUUUUCAUAAAAGCCUUACAAAUCUGGCCUCUGUUGGUGUUGUAGUAGGUGGGUGCGUGUACACUAGGGGGAGCAGCUUGUUCAUUUGUCAACGUUUCUGCAACCAUCAUGGCCAUAGGUGCAAUCGAACCAAGCUCAUUCAGAUUAUUCCUUGAACACACAAAACACUUCAGCUUUAAAAAAUUUUUAACAGUAUAAUUUAACUAUAAAUACAAUUUUUUUUUAAAAAAAAGCAAGCGGUUUGUUACCUGUAGGAGCUACUUGGAUCAAAGAUAUCUUCUCCAUAUUUCCCAUUUGUGGAGUUCCCCAGUGCUUGCUAAAGAAACAUCCAAUGCUUUAUGAUUUUUGAAAUCUAGUGUUUUAGUGGAAUCACAAUAUACACAAUACUGUCACCUGCUAAUGUGUCUAUAAAAUUUAUAACAUAUCAAUACACAGAAAUGUUUAUUCCUGAGAACAGGUUGCUAAAGUGAAUUCCUAAGUAAAAUGUUGGUUUCAGUUGGAAAGUAUACACACUGUGACACUAAAAUGCUAGUGCAAAACUAUAGAAGACCAGAUCUGCCAAAAUAAAAUAAAAAAAGUAAAAUAAUAUAUAAAUAUAUAAACAAAUAAAUUAAUGCAUAAUAGAUAGAUAGAUAGAUAGAUAGAUAGAUAGAUAUACCGAUCAGCCAUAGCAUUAAAACCACCUGCCUAAUAUUGUGUAGGUCCCCCUUGUGUCACCAAAACAGCUCUGACUCAUCAAGGCAUGGACUCCACAAGACCUCUGAAGGUGUGCUGUGGUAUCUGGCAUCAAAUGUUAUCAGCAGAUCUUUUAAGCCCUGUAAGUUGCGAGGUGGAGCCUCCAUGGAUUGGACUUGUUUGUCCAACACAGUCCUCAGAUACUCUAUCGGAUUGAGAUCUGGGGAAUUUGCAGGCCAAGUCAACACCUUCAACUCUUAGUCAUGCUCCUCAAACCAUUCCUGAACAAUUUUUGCAGUGUGGCAGGGCGUAUUAUCCUGUUGACAGAGGCCACUGCCAUUAGGAAAUACCACUGUCAUGAAGGGGUGUACUUGAUCUGCAACAAUGUUUAGGUAGGCAGUACGUGUCAAAGUAACAUGCACAUAAAUGCCAGGACCCAAAGUUUCCAGAGAAAUCAUUGCCCAGAGCCUCUUGCUGCUGUCCACUUGAUGAGCUUUCGCUCCUCAUGCUUCGCUGACCUGUAGUUGGUUGUCCUUCCUUCAAUUACAUUUGUUAGGUUCUAAGCUCUGUAUACGGGAAACACCCCACAAGGUCUGCCAUUUUGGAGAUGCUCUGACCCAGUCGUCUAGCCAUCACAAUUUGGUCCUUGUCAAAGUCUCUCAGAUCCUUACGCUUGCCCGUUUUCCUACUUACAACACAUCAACUUCUAGAACUGAUUGUUCACUUGCUGCAUAGUAUAUCCCACCCCUUGACAGAUGCUCUUGUAACAAGAUAAUCGAUGUUAUUCACAUCACCUCUCAGUGGUUUUAAUGUGAUUGCUGAUCAGUGUAUAUAUAUAUAGUAGUUUUCUAUAGUGGACUAAUUAUGCUAAAAUUUAUAUAUAUAUAAAUUUUGGCAUAAUUAGUCCACUAUAGGAAACUGCUAUAAUCACAGCUACAUUAUAUGCCCAAACAUUUGUGGACACCUGGCCAUAAUGUUUAUAUGUGCCUUUUGAAUAUCUCAUUCCAGAUGUAUUCCCUCCUUUUCUGUUAAAAUAACCUCCACUCUUCUGUGAAGGAUUCCCACUAGAUUUUGGAGCAUGGCUGUGUAGAUUUGUGCUCAUUCAACUACAAGAGCAAUAGUGAGGUCAGGCACUGAUGUCAGUUGAGGAGGCCUGGGGUGCAGUUGGUGUUCCAGUUCAUCCCAAAGGUGUUCAGUGGUGUUGAGGUAAGGGCUCAGAAUGCCAUUUGAGUUCUUCCCCUCCAACCUUGGCAAACCAUGUCCAUCUUUAUGGAUCUCACAUAGUAGACGAUUGUGUGCUUCCAACUUUGUGGUAACCGUUUGGGAAAGAACCACACAUGGGCGUAAUGGUCAGGUGUCCACAUAAUUUUGGUCAUAGAGUGUAAAGUUUGUGCAACCCCUCUAUGAAGACUCCAUUAAGAAUUUAUAUUGUGCCAUAUUACAACCACAAUUCCAAAGACAUUGGGAUGCUGUAUAAAAUGUAAAUUCGAAAAAAUAGAAUGCAAUAAUUUGCAUAUCUUAAUCUAAUUAGUUGUUUAAUGUUCUUCCAGCUGUUUCUUUUUAGUAAUACUUACUUUUCCAGCCUUUUUGUUGCCCCUGUCCCAACUUUUCUGAGACGUGUUGCAGCCAUCAAAUUCAAAAUUACCUUAUUUUUUUUCUUAUUACCUUAUUUAUAAUUUCCUAUAAUUACCUACCAAAAACAUUUGAUAUGUUUUCUGUGUUCUAUUGUGAAUAACAUAUGGGUUUAUGAGAUUUGCAAUUCAUUCUGUUUUUAUUUACAUUUUACGCAGUGUCCCAACUUUUUUUAAAACUGGAGUUGUACACAAGUCAAUGUUGAUGUUAGUACUGGCAAAAUAAGAUAAUUUGAUUGGGUUUUUCAUUUAAUUUCAUUGCUUCUGACUGAUUCUAAAAUUCUGCUGACAUAAAACUAUGGUAUCUAAUAUACUCCAAUGACUUAAAUAUGCUUACUGCUUGGUUUAAAAUACCUGAUGAAGUGCAGAAUCUUGAGUCAUAGUAGACUGACUUUCCAUAUUAACUUGUAGAGGAGAACUUUUUAUAUCCAUGAAGGUAUUUUGACUCUAAAAUCAAGUUAAACAAAGAAAAAAAUACAUUAUUGCAUGACCGGUUUGUGUAUAUGUAAAUGUAAAUAUAAUGUAAACUGUGUGUGUGUGUGUGUGUGUGUGUGUGUGUGUGUGUGUGUGUGUGUGUGUGAGAGAGAGAGAGAGAGAGAGAGAGAGAGAGAGAGAGAAUCAUCUGCACAUCUUCUAAGACCCUGAAACAAAGCCUGUUUGAACUGCCUCAAACCGCUUCUUAUCAGUACACAGAAUUAUGUCAUGCUCUGCCUUUCAUAUAUAUAGUAGUGGUUCAGCACAAGUGCUUCAGAGCGCUCUCAUUAUUCUAUCCUGCUUUAUUCUAUCCUUUAUUAACCAUCUUUCUGUAAUAAACCUUUUUACCUUCA